AGACGGUACCUGUGAAGGAAGCUCCGGCUAACUACGUGCCAGCAGCCGCGGUAAUACGUAGGGAGCAAGCGUUAUCCGGAAUUACUGGGUGUAAAGGGAGUGUAGGCGGGACUGUAAGUCAGAUGUGAAAUAUGCCGGCUCAACCGGCAGACUGCAUUUGAAACUGCGGUUCUUGAGUGAAGUAGAGGUAAGCGGAAUUCCUAGUGUAGCGGUGAAAUGCGUAGAUAUUAGGAGGAACAUCAGUGGCGAAGGCGGCUUACUGGGCUUUAACUGACGCUGAGGCUCGAAAGCGUGGGGAGCAAACAGGAUUAGAUACCCUG
rnacentral:rRNA from 1 species